rnacentral:lncRNA from 1 species
AUGUACUUCUCAGGGAUCCACUCAAAUCCCAGUCCGGGGAUCUUUUUUGUGGCCAGUGUCCUCGGUUUCAUCAUGGGACACUGUAUUUUCCUCUUUCUCAUUAUCCUGAUGAUUCAUCAGUGUAGAAAGAGGAGAGUGUUCCAAGAGGAAGAACUGAUGGAGAGACUCCUGAAUGAGGAAGAGAAGGCUGGAAGUCUGGUUUGUGAGCUCAAGACCAUAGCGUAUCACUGAAGGGACCAAUGUGGCUGUACUGAAGCCAUCUGCACCAUGGUCCAGGCUAGGGCUUCAGAGGACACCGCAGUGGUCACCAGCUGUUUUGAUGCUGCACUGUGGCCUCAUUUUUUAUAAACUAUCACAAAAUAACCAUUUGUGCCCUUCUCACUCGUGUCUGUGAUUGAGAACUCUGCGAUCAUCUAAUGACUUCAGUACAGGCUGAUUAUAUAGAACGGGCCAAGCAGCUCCUUGACAUAUGUGUACUUCCCGCAUCUUAAGUGGGACAGAUACCAGGUCCAGCAUCAGAGCUGAUGUUCUCCCAACCUCACAGUGAAGAGGGUUGAAUAGCCUAGACAUGUUUUAUGAUGAUUACAACAUUGUUUCUCCCACAAUUUUGGCCUUCUUCCCAGUGGCUUUGGAAAAUGGUAACAGGAGGCACAUUUAGGUAUAACUUUCUGGGAAAAGUACUAAGUUAAGAAUACCCGAAAUAGAAAAACUCAGAUACAUUCUUGGAAUAGGGAUAUACAGAAACUGGUUGGAAGCAGAAUGUUUUCAAGCUCCUGAUUUUUAAAAUUUUGGUGGUGGUGGGGAUUAUUAGAUUUCAUUUUACUUCUAAGUGUAAUUAAGCCUUUUAAUGGCUGAGUGACUGGGGCACAGUAUAUCAAAUGUUUUCAUCAGGAUAAUAAAUAUAAACCUCUAGCUCCCA